rnacentral:rRNA from 1 species
GGAGGAAAAGAAACUAACAAGGAUUCCCCUAGUAACGGCGAGUGAACCGGGAAGAGCUCAAAUUUGUAAUCUGGCGUGCUACGUGCGUCCGAGUUGUAAUCUAGAGAGGCGUUUUCCGUGCCGGUCCGUGUCCAAGUCCCUUGGAACAGGGUAUCAAAGAGGGUGACAAUCCCGUACUUGACACGACCACCGGUGCUCUGUGAUACGUCUUCGACGAGUCGAGUUGUUUGGGAAUGCAGCUCAAAACGGGUGGUAAAUUCCAUCUAAAGCUAAAUAUUGGCGAGAGACCGAUAGCGAACAAGUACCGUGAGGGAAAGAUGAAAAGCACUUUGGAAAGAGAGUUAAACAGUAUGUGAAAUUGUUAAAAGGGAAACGAUUGAAGUCAGUCGUGUUCAUUGGAUUCAGCCGGUUCUGCCGGUCUACUUCCUUUGAACGGGUCAACAUCAGUUUUGAUCGGUGGAUAAAUUCGCAAGGAAGGUGGCUUCUCCGGAAGUGUUAUAGCCUUGCGUUGGAUACGCUGGUCGAGACUGAGGAACGCAGCUCGCCUUUAUGGCCGGGGUUCGCCCACGUCCGAGCUUAGGAUGUUGACAUAAUGGCUUUAAACGACCCGUCUUGAA